AGUGAACGCUGGCGGUAGGCCUAACACAUGCAAGUCGAACGGCAGCACAGUAAGAGCUUGCUCUUACGGGUGGCGAGUGGCGGACGGGUGAGGAAUACAUCGGAAUCUACCUUUUCGUGGGGGAUAACGUAGGGAAACUUACGCUAAUACCGCAUACGACCUACGGGUGAAAGCAGGGGUUCUUCGGACCUUGCGCGAUUGAAUGAGCCGAUGUCGGAUUAGCUAGUUGGCGGGGUAAAGGCCCACCAAGGCGACGAUCCGUAGCUGGUCUGAGAGGAUGAUCAGCCACACUGGAACUGAGACACGGUCCAGACUCCUACGGGAGGCAGCAGUGGGGAAUAUUGGACAAUGGGCGCAAGCCUGAUCCAGCCAUACCGCGUGGGUGAAGAAGGCCUUCGGGUUGUAAAGCCCUUUUGUUGGGAAAGAAAAGCAGCAGGUUAAUACCCCGCUGUUCCGACGGUACCCAAAGAAUAAGCACCGGCUAACUUCGUG
rnacentral:rRNA from 1 species